rnacentral:rRNA from 1 species
CAGGACGAACGCUGGCGGCGUGCCUAACACAUGCAAGUCGAACGGAGAAUUUUAUUUCGGUAGAAUUCUUAGUGGCGAACGGGUGAGUAACGCGUAGGCAACCUGCCCUUUAGACGGGGACAACAUUCCGAAAGGAGUGCUAAUACCGGAUGUGAUCAUCGUGCCGCAUGGCAGGAUGAAGAAAGAUGGCCUCUACAAGUAAGCUAUCGCUAAAGGAUGGGCCUGCGUCUGAUUAGCUAGUUGGUAGUGUAACGGACUACCAAGGCGAUGAUCAGUAGCCGGUCUGAGAGGAUGAACGGCCACAUUGGGACUGAGACACGGCCCAAACUCCUACGUGAGGCAGCAGUGGGGAAUCUUCCGCAAUGGACGAAAGUCUGACGGAGCAACGCCGCGUGAGUGGUGAAGGAUUUCGGUCUGUAAAGCUCUGUUGUUUAUGACGAACGUGCAGUGUGUGAACAAUGCAUUGCAAUGACGGUAGUAAACGAGGAAGCCACGGCUAACUACGUGCCAGCAGCCGCGGUAAUACGUAGGUGGCGAGCGUUGUCCGGAAUUAUUGGGCGUAAAGAGCAUGUAGGCGGCUUAAUAAGUCGAGCGUGAAAAUGCGGGGCUCAACCCCGUAUGGCGCUGGAAACUGUUAGGCUUGAGUGCAGGAGAGGAAAGGGGAAUUCCCAGUGUAGCGGUGAAAUGCGUAGAUAUAGAGAGGAACACCAGUGGCGAAGGCGCCUUUCUGGACUGUGUCUGACGCUGAGAUGCGAAAGCCAGGGUAGCGAACAAGAUUAGAUACCCCGGUAGUCCUGGCCGU